GCCUAACCAUGCAAGUCGAGCGGUAGCACAGAGAGCUUGCUCUCGGGUGACGAGCGGCGGACGGGUGAGUAAUGUCUGGGAAACUGCCUGAUGGAGGGGGAUAACUACUGGAAACGGUAGCUAAUACCGCAUAAUGUCGCAAGACCAAAGUGGGGGACCUUCGGGCCUCUUGCCAUCAGAUGUGCCCAGAUGGGAUUAGCUAGUAGGUGGGGUAACGGCUCACCUAGGCGACGAUCCCUAGCUGGUCUGAGAGGAUGACCAGCCACACUGGAACUGAGACACGGUCCAGACUCCUACGGGAGGCAGCAGUGGGGAAUAUUGCACAAUGGGCGCAAGCCUGAUGCAGCCAUGCCGCGUGUGUGAAGAAGGCCUUCGGGUUGUAAAGCACUUUCAGCGGGGAGGAAGGCGUUGAGGUUAAUAACCUUGUCGAUUGACGUUACCCGCAGAAAAAGCACCGGCUAACUCCGUGCCAGCAGCCGCGGUAAUACGGAGGGUGCAAGCGUUAAUCGGAAUUACUGGGCGUAAAGCGCACGCAGGCGGUCUGUCAAGUCGGAUGUGAAAUCCCCGGGCUCAACCUGGGAACUGCAUUCGAAACUGGCAGGCUAGAGUCUUGUAGAGGGGGGUAGAAUUCCAGGUGUAGCGGUGAAAUGCGUAGAGAUCUGGAGGAAUACCGGUGGCGAAGGCGGCCCCCUGGACAAAGACUGACGCUCAGGUGCGAAAGCGUGGGGAGCAAACAGGAUUAGAUACCCUGGUAGUCCACGCCGUAAACGAUGUCGAUUUGGAGGUUGUGCCCUUGAGGCGUGGCUUCCGGAGCUAACGCGUUAAAUCGACCGCCUGGGGAGUACGGCCGCAAGGUUAAAACUCAAAUGAAUUGACGGGGGCCCGCACAAGCGGUGGAGCAUGUGGUUUAAUUCGAUGCAACGCGAAGAACCUUACCUGGUCUUGACAUCCACAGAACUUUCCAGAGAUGGAUUGGUGCCUUCGGGAACUGUGAGACAGGUGCUGCAUGGCUGUCGUCAGCUCGUGUUGUGAAAUGUUGGGUUAAGUCCCGCAACGAGCGCAACCCUUAUCCUUUGUUGCCAGCGGUUCGGCCGGGAACUCAAAGGAGACUGCCAGUGAUAAACUGGAGGAAGGUGGGGAUGACGUCAAGUCAUCAUGGCCCUUACGACCAGGGCUACACACGUGCUACAAUGGCACAUACAAAGAGAAGCGACCUCGCGAGAGCAAGCGGACCUCAUAAAGUAUGUCGUAGUCCGGAUUGGAGUCUGCAACUCGACUCCAUGAAGUCGGAAUCGCUAGUAAUCGUAGAUCAGAAUGCUACGGUGAAUACGUUCCCGGGCCUUGUACACACCGCCCGUCACACCAUGGGAGUGGGUUGCAAAAGAAGUAGGUAGCUUAACCUUCGGGAGGGCGCUUACCACUUU
rnacentral:rRNA from 1 species